GCAGUUACCAGCAAAGUGGAUAUGUGGAUUUUGGGGUAGCUAUCUUGGAAAAUUUGAAUGAUUGAACCCUUUGCAGUUGGGGAUGUCAACUACAAGUUAGGAUAAGGCAGCAUGUGCUAUACAUGUGCCAAAACGUGUGUCUAUUUAUAUGUGGGCAUGGCAAACUUUUCAAAGGCAGAGUGUGGCUGUCUUUUGGCAAACUUUUGUAAGGCUGAU
rnacentral:lncRNA from 1 species